rnacentral:lncRNA from 1 species
AAAUCCUUGGACAAUGAGCAUUCCUUUUAACAUAUUUGUUGAAAAUCUUGCUUUAACAAAAAUUCUUCUCUUUGAAACAUUAAAGUAAAAAUAUCUCAAAUGCUAAUGUGAUGUAAUCCAGAUGAGAAUACUAGUCUGCGUCUUCUUUCUUUGAGUUGGAUAGGGUCAGUGUUCACAAGCCUACAAGCAUGGCAUUAAGGUUGAUAGAAUGGG